UUCACAGGGAAGAGCCAGCUCCUCGGGGGAGCCUGUCUGAGAGCAGAAGCGUGGGUCACUCCAGGGAAAGAAUUUAGCUCAGAAACAGGAGAAGCGGGGGAGCGGUUCUGAGGCGCCUUUGGGAAGGGUCGCUUCGAGUUCUGGCCUUGUUUCUGCGCUGUGGGAGGCAGAAAUGCUUUUCCUGCUGGGCUCCUACUCAUUCUUUGACUUGGGGCCUCUCCAGCUGCUGUGCCUACCUUAGCCUCAGCGGACACCCUAUUCUAUUCCAUGAUCCAGGCCUGACUCCUCCGCCACUUUCCGAGGGUUGAAGUCGCUCUGCAGACAAGGGAACCUAACCGGGCAAGGAUUGGGAAGUGCAGCAUCAUGUUUUAAAGCCAGGUCUGACUCCGGAGCCUCCUUAACGCCUGCACCUGCAUUGCGGGGCCUCCCAGACUUGGCCGGUGUCUCCCCCUACCCCGUUCCCUCAGCCCUUCCAGUCUGGCUGAGCCGG